CAACUCUUCCGCCAAACACUACAUAAAAAUUCGAUAAAGGAAUAACAUAUAGCUAAAUUUUUAAGGUUUUGCGCAAGUGUUGGAUCUAGAUAAAUAGAAAAUAUUUAUUGUUUUCUUAAAAAAAAAAAAAAAAAAAAUGUCUCUCCACCUUCAAACCCUUAAUCUUCCAUGUGCAUACCCAGAUCCGUUUCUUACAACCCAAAUUCUUCGUUGUUGUUCUCCUUUAGCUCUUUCUUUCUCACUUCCUUUACUCUCCCUAGCUCACACCUUCUCAUUAAAAUGUCAAUUUCAUCUCGUCGGAGAAGGGUUUUGAGUCUAUUGAGAAAAGGACUGCAAGAGGUUUUACAGAUCGAAAUCACCGAAGAAGAUGUUUCUCACUAGGACCGACUAUGACAGGGGAGUCUAACACUUUUUUCUCCCGAAGGAAAGCUGUUCCAAGUUGAAUAUGUCAUUGAAGCUAUCAAGAUAAGUGAGUUGCAAAUUGAGAUUCAAUGUAUGGAGAAUAAGCAACCGUUAGCACCUAACUCAUUCUCAAAUCUUGGACCUUGCAGGAGGACUAGUGGCCCUAUUAGACGAUGAACUCCUGAGGUGGAUGAGACACUUAGACGAGCUGUUGACAAGUUUAAGGGGAAGAGGUGGAAGAAAAUAGGUUUUCAUAGGUUUCAAUUUCAAGUCAUGAGUUUGUUAAUGGAUUUAUGUCUACCUUGAUUGUUUUUUUUCUUUGGUGGGUUUCUCUCAGAUCAACUGUCAGCUAUUUUGGUUGAGUCUUGUAUUGCUGGUUAUGCCGGUGUAACAACAGGCUCCAUGGUUAUUGGGGCUGUAGGUGGCUUAAAGAACUCAAGGCUCAACUCUGCUCAACUCAGUGUCACCAAAGUCACCGAAGGAAAAUGCAUGAGUGAGGACCACAAGAAGACAGGUCAUGACUCUUGAGUAAGAAUGGGUCUACUAAAGCUGGAGGACUUCAAGAAGGCGAAGGAGAAGGUUAUAUUUAAGAAGCAAGUUGGAGUUCCUGAAGCUUUUAACAUCUUUUAAUGAACUUUUUUCGAUGGUAUGUAGUAAAUAUUGUAUAAGAAGACUUGGUUUGAUGACUUGUUGUAGUCUAAAAUAUGGUAUGUAUGUUUUGGAUAAUUUAUUUAAUAUAAUUUUUAAAAUAAAUUCAUACUUUAUUAAACUGAA